GACGUAGGGCGCGAGCGUUGUCCGGAUUUAUUGGGCGUAAAGGGCGCGUAGGCGGCAAUUCAAGUCAGCUGUGAAAUCUCCGGGCUUAACUCGGAACGGUCAGCUGAUACUGCUUUGCUAGAGUGCGGAAGGGGCAAUCGGAAUUCUCGGUGUAGCGGUGAAAUGCGUAGAUAUCGAGAGGAACACCUGAGGUGAAGACGGGUUGCUGGGCUGACACUGACGCUGAUGCGCGAAAGCCAGGGUAGCAAACGGG
rnacentral:rRNA from 1 species